GUUGCCCUGGCACCCAUAUCAAAAGGUUGAGGAAAUAUUUCGCCACCUCUAUAAGCGACGCUCGGCAUUUAUGAGAAAUGACGGAAUUAGUGUCAACCCCACCAAGAGAUUUAAUCGCCGCCUGACAUUCGGAAAUUUCAGACUGAAAUACUCUUCAGUGAUUGGGAAAACGGGACGAAUCGCUUACUCUUGGCUUUUUACAGUAGAGACCAAAUCCAACUUUAUGGUCAAGCUUUGAGCCAUCCAGCUGAUCCCAUAGUUCUGCAACAAGGCAUAUGCCCGUCCAAUGCCUUAUAUUUCGUAACCAUGAUAACUGCUUCCGGCCAACGCAUCGUUCAAUUUAAAGCAUUUUUGUUUUCGAAAAACUUUACAAUUUAUUUCAUAGGUUAAAAAAUAAGUGGUCCUGUGUUUGUUACUUUACAAUUUACCAAGUUCACCGAUCCCAGCUGAUGUCGGAAUUCGAGUGUCGAAAUAUUUACUUAGCUCUGAUUAUAUUAUAUAUAUAUAUAUGUGCGUGAGAAUGCAAGUCGAUACGAAUAUUUGAAAAUGGCAAAUAUGUGAUAAUGUGUAUUAAUAUAAUGCAA